UGCAUGGCCGUCGUCAGCUCGUGCCGUGAGGUGUUGGGUUAAGUCCCGCAACGAGCGCAACCCCCGCCGUUAGUUGCCAGCGGUUCGGCCGGGCACUCUAACGGGACUGCCCGCGAAAGCGGGAGGAAGGAGGGGACGACGUCUGGUCAGCAUGGCCCUUACGGCCUGGGCGACACACGUGCUACAAUGCCCACUACAAAGCGAUGCCACCCGGCAACGGGGAGCUAAUCGCAAAAAGGUGGGCCCAGUUCGGAUUGGGGUCUGCAACCCGACCCCAUGAAGCCGGAAUCGCUAGUAAUCGCGGAUCAGCCAUGCCGCGGUGAAUACGUUCCCGGGCCUU
rnacentral:rRNA from 1 species